rnacentral:rRNA from 1 species
UACGGAGGGAGCUAGCGUUGUUCGGAAUUACUGGGCGUAAAGCGCGCGUAGGCGGCUUUGUAAGUUAGAGGUGAAAGCCCGGAGCUCAACUCCGGAACUGCCAUUGAAACUGUAAGACUUGAGGAUGAGAGAGGUGAGUGGAAUUCCCAGUGUAGAGGUGAAAUUCGUAGAUAUCGAGAGGAACACCGGUGGCGAAGGCGGCCAACUGGACGAAUACUGACGCUGAGACUCGAAAGCGUGGGGAGCAAACAGG